UGCAAAUGAAAAGGCAUUUGUGUGCGAAUAUUUCAAAAAUGCCAACAACAAAACAGCCGCAUGCCGAUGCCGAUGCCGUUUCACGUGCCAAAUAUACAUUGUAGCAACAACAAAACGAUAACUUUUUCGCCUCGUGUGUUUUGUGCAUCUCAUUCGCUGCAAGGCCAGCUGAGCGCAACACGUUUGUGUUGUUUCUGCUGCAUGCGUAGGCGGGCAGAGCAGCAACAGCAACAGCAGCACAGCAGCAUGUGCGUAUGUGUGCGUGCACUAAUUGAAACAUAGAUGCGACAGCUCUUCAAGAAGCCAGAGACGCAAGGUGCGGCAGCUAUAUUUGUUGAUAAGACGGCCCAGUCAAUGUCUGAUAGUGCAGCAACUGAAAGUGGGUCUCUCAUAUGACUGAUAAUGGCAGUCAACGCUGCCUGCUGCAGCAACAACAUAAACAACAACAACAACGACAACAGUAGCAACAACAACAACAACAACAAGGGAAACGGCAGCAACUACGAUGGCCAAGCAAAAUGAAUAUUUGAAAAUUUGGAAACAUAUCAAAUGGCGAAUUGAAAAGUGAAACCAAAAUCGAAAAGUGAAAGGAAAAGAGAAAUUCCACAAAAGAAAAAGACAGAAAACAAUUAGUACAUUUUUUACGCCGGGUACUUAAUAGUUGUUGAAAUUAACAAGUGCCAUACGCGAGUGUUGAAAUCGAGUUUAUAUAGAUAUUUAGUUCUAGAACCUAUUCCAGCUUACGAAUAACACAUAUCCCAAAAGCAACGCUGCCAAUU
rnacentral:sRNA from 1 species